AACGAACGCUGGCGGCGCGCCUAAUACAUGCAAGUCGAGCGAGAAGACGUAGCAAUACGUUUGUAAAGCGGCGAACGGGUGAGGAAUACAUGGGUAACCUACCCUCGAGUGGGGAAUAACUAGCCGAAAGGUUAGCUAAUACCGCGUACGCUCCUUGGACUUCGGUUCAGGGAGGAAAGCGAUACCGUGGGUAUCGCGCUCAUGGAUGGGCUCAUGUCCUAUCAGCUUGUUGGNGAGGUAACGGCUCACCAAGGCUUCGACGGGUAGCUGGUCUGAGAGGACGAUCAGCCACACUGGCACUGCGACACGGGCCAGACUCCUACGGGAGGCAGCAGUAAGGAAUAUUGCGCAAUGGGGCGAAAGCCUGACGCAGCGACGCCGCGUGGGGGAUGAAGGUCUUCGGAUUGUAAACCCCUUUCGGGAGGGAAGAUGGAACGAGCAAUCGUUCGGACGGUACCUCCAGAGGCAGCCACGGCUAACUUCGUGCCAGCA
rnacentral:rRNA from 1 species